rnacentral:rRNA from 1 species
AUUGAACGCUGGCGGCGUGCCUAACACAUGCAAGUCGAGCGGCAGCGCGGGAGCAAUCCUGGCGGCGAGCGGCGGACGGGUGAGUAAUGCUUGGGAAUCUGCCUGUUAGUGGGGGACAACCCGGGAACUCGGGCUAAUACCGCAUACGCACUACGGUGGAAAGCCGGGGACCGCAAGGCCUGGCGCUAACAGAUGAGCCCCAAGUCGGAUUAGCUAGUUGGUAGGUAACGGCCACCAAGGCGACGAUCCGUAACUGGUCUGAGAGGACGACCAGUCACACCGGAACUGAGACACGGUCCGGACUCCUAC